rnacentral:sRNA from 1 species
CACCCCAUAUGACCAAAAGAAAUUCCCAAUUAAAGAUUUCAUCUUACUUCCCUCAUGU